rnacentral:rRNA from 1 species
AGGGAAUCUUCCACAAUGGGCGCAAGCCUGAUGGAGCAACACCGCGUGAGUGAAGAAGUAUUUCGGUAUGUAAAGCUCUAUCAGCAGGGAAGAAGAUGACAGUACCUGAGUAAGAAGCCCCGGCUAACUACGUGCCAGCAGCCGCGGUAAUACGUAGGGGGCAAGCGUUAUCCGGAUUUACUGGGUGUAAAGGGAGCGCAGACGGAUGGAUAAGUCUGAAGUGAAAGCCCGCGGCUCAACUGCGGGACUGCUUUGGAAACUGUGCAUCUUGAGUACGGGAGGGGCAGGCGGAAUUCCUGGUGUAGCGGUGAAAUGCGUAGAUAUCAGGAGGAACACCGGCGGCGAAGGCGGCCUGCUGGACCGAAACUGACGUUGAGGCUCGAAAGCGUGGGGAGCAAACAGG